UUACUAUGCUACUGUUCUGUUCCAUGUGUUUAAGGGGACUGGGUCCCCCCACUGAACUGAGAUAAGCAGGUAGCUCCUGCCAGGUGGGGCUUGUGUAUUACAAGAGAAGCCAUCUGUUAGAUGAGGCCAUCGUCUCAGUGCUGAUGUACUGGAUGAAAAUGAAGCUUCUUGGCUGUCGGUGUAUGGAGCAGAGAGAUGCUGAUCCUGAUAUUGCUGAUGACCACACAGAGAUGUCAGAAUGAGACCUAUUGGGCUUAUGUUCCUGAUCCACCAAUUUUACAUCCUGCAACUUGGGAAGGAAAAGCAAUAACACCAGGCUUUUAGAUCCACCUGCCACCCAAGUGUUCCAGAUUGCUCGCAAUUUUUCUUAUAUUGGAUAUGGCAAAGGGAUUACUGUAUGUUUUGCAAAAAAAAAAAAUAUAUUACUUUUUUUGCAAAAGGAUGUCUUGGAGUGUUUCCAAAACAAGUAUUGGGACAUGAUAAACAAUGUACACAUAAUACAAAGUUAUUUUUUUCCUCAAGAUAAUUGAAUAAGUAAUAUUUCACCCCCCUCAAUGCACAAAAGAGUUUCGAGAGUCUAACAGAACCUUGUUAUGGAGACAAUAUACAUUGUUCUCUAAGCAAUAUACAUUGUUCUCUGGCAUUGUUCCUUUAAAGUAUAACAUCACAGGGACACAGUAACAUAUUCUUGACUAGUCCAGAAAUCAAGAUGAUUAUAGUGACUCUUAUCCUGUGUCUACAGCAGAAUCUUGGGACCAAGGACUGUCAGAUCUGUUUGGAGCGGCACCUGGAGGAAGGCAGAAGUACUCAGGGGCCCUGACUCUUCAAAAGAAACCCUGGGUGGGCGGCCCGUGGUCCCAUCCCUCCCUUCUGCGUGUGUGGUUGUUUGGGGAACAGUUCCCGGGGAAUGGGUGGCUCUCCAGAUGGUCAGAGAGGAAAUCGGAGAAGUUUCAUGUACUCCAUCUGCCUGUGUGCAUCAUGCCCACCAUCCUCAGCCCCCAGCCCGCCCAGAGCCUCCAGUUCCCACAGACAGAUGCCUGUGAACAAACCCCCUCUUCACUCUCCUGGGAGCCCCGUUUUCCCAGCUGGCCAGCUGUCAAGCCCAUGAGCUGCUGGCUCUGCGUCAUCACGUGCUCCAGGCCAGAUGGUACCUGUCAACAUCAGCUGCCAUGCUGCUGUGACGGGCAGCAGCCUCACACAUGUCCCUGUGCGUAAGAGGUACGGCCUGACCCAGCUUCACUCCCUCUCUGCCCUGCUCUGCACCCCCACCCUAAUGCCGUCACCACCCUGCCUACAUGUGUCCUCAGCGU